UACUCUGUGCAGUCAGAGCCCUGCCCUUCAGACACUAAGGCUGUUUUAUUUUUAGUUUCAGAAAAAACCCUGCUUUCAGAGGAACUUCAAAUUAUAUUUGUCUGUGUGUGAUCCAAGAGCCAAAGACAGAUUAAAUGAUUCCAGUGGACAUACUGCUCUGAUUAUGAGCUACAUCCAACCCCUGGCAGCAUGCAUCAUUGCCUUGGAAAAUAUGUCACAGCAAUUAUAUCCUUAUUCCUCUUGAGCUUCUUCCUCCGUGAGAAAAUCCAAAAUGCUGAAUAUAAACUUCUGUUGAAGGAAAAGGAGGACAUAGCUUGGAAAUAGCUGUCAAACAAAUCAACUCUGAAAGCAAGAACCAUCUGCGAACCUUCAAGGAGAUGCAGAGAGACUCCCAUCUUCUCCAGCAGGCUAGCUACCAAUCCCUGGCUGGAGCCCCUCCCCAGGAAAAGA